AUUGAACGCUGGCGGCAUGCCUUACACAUGCAAGUCGAACGGUAACAGGUUAAGCUGACGAGUGGCGAACGGGUGAGUAAUACAUCGGAACGUGCCCAGUAGUGGGGGAUAGCCCGGCGAAAGCCGGAUUAAUACCGCAUACGACCUAAGGGUGAAAGGGGGUGAUCGCAAGACCUCUCGCUAUUGGAGCGGCCGAUGUCAGAUUAGCUAGUUGGUGGGGUAAAAGCUCACCAAGGCGACGAUCUGUAGCUGGUCUGAGAGGACGACCAGCCACACUGGGACUGAGACACGGCCCAGACUCCUACGGGAGGCAGCAGUGGGGAAUUUUGGACAAUGGGCGCAAGCCUGAUCCAGCCAUGCCGCGUGCGGGAAGAAGGCCUUCGGGUUGUAAACCGCUUUUGUCAGGGAAGAAAUCCUUUGGGUUAAUACCUCGGGGGGAUGACGGUACCUGAAGAAUAAGCACCGGCUAACUACGUG
rnacentral:rRNA from 1 species